GACGAACGCUGGCGGCGUGCUUAACACAUGCAAGUCGAACGGAGUGGCGAACGGGUGAGUAACACGUGGGUGACCUGCCCUGCACUUCGGGGUAAGCCUGGGAAACUGGGACUAAUACCGGAUAGUGUGGGAUGGGCCCGCGGACUAUCAGCUUGUUGGGGGGGUAAUGGCCUACCAAGGCGGCGACGGGUAGCCGGGCUGGGAGGGUGGACGGCCAAAUUAGGACUGAGACAGGGCCCAGAAUGCUACGGGAGGCAGCAGUGUGGAGUAUGGCACAAUGGGCGGACGCCUGAUGCAGCGACGCCGCGUGGGGGAUGUCGGCCUUCGGGUUGUAAACUCCUUUCACCAGCGACGCGGUAGAUGGAGAAGAAGCACCGGCUAACUACGUGCCAGCAGCCGCGGUAAUUC
rnacentral:rRNA from 1 species